CUCAGAGCUUCGUGAGAGUCUUAAAAGAAACCCUAGCCCUAGUUGCCAGGCGUCUUAUAAAUGGAGUAUUAUUCGGUAGCUCCUCAGUCUUUGAAACCUCCAUUCCCUUGUCAGGGUCUCUAUCCGGACGCCGCUGGUUCAUCGAUUUUAAGGAGGUGGCGGCAAUGGAAGCUUGAAGUCUGAAAAUUACCAGAGGAGAGGCGACUGCAACCUUUUAGGAGCGGCGGUGGUGGACUCACGAUGGAGGAGCUAGGGUUACCAACAAAGUAGAACCCAAGAGACAUCACAUAUUUCGUUUGGCACGCUUUGCAAUUUUUCCAGCUUUUUUCCUCUUUUUGUUUGUUUUAAUCGGUCAAAUGAAAGACCGAACGUUAAUGACUUAUGUUCUAAAGUUUAGAAAAAAAAAA